GUAGGUGGCAAGCGUUGUCCGGAAUUAUUGGGCGUAAAGCGCGCGCAGGCGGUUCUUUAAGUCUGAUGUGAAAGCCCACGGCUCAACCGUGGAGGGUCAUUGGAAACUGGAGAACUUGAGUACAGAAGAGGAAAGCGGAAUUCCACGUGUAGCGGUGAAAUGCGUAGAGAUGUGGAGGAACACCAGUGGCGAAGGCGGCUUUCUGGUCUGUAACUGACGCUGAGGCGCGAAAGCGUGGGGAGCGAACAGGAUUAGAUACCCUGGUAGUCCACGCCGUAAACGAUGAGUGCUAAGUGUUAGGGGGGUUUUCCGCCCCCCUUAGUGCUGCAGCUAACGCAUUAAGCACUCCGCCUGGGAGUACGGCCGCAAGGCUG
rnacentral:rRNA from 1 species